AGCAUUGUUAUUCAUACCUAACUGUAAAUUCUCCAUUUGGUCGAGGCCGUUCUACAAAUAGACUCUUAAAAUGUAUAAUAUGUCUUAGCGGAAUAUUUACCAGGAUUUUAAGGUGGUUGAAGCUGCCGUUGAAGCUACGUGCGGUGCGAUGUGGAGUCAUGGUGUUUUUUAUAGAAAGAAAAUAACCGCGUUUGGACUGGAUGCUGCAAUCUUGCUAUAAUGCGAUAGUGUGUAAUUAUAGCAUCAGCUUUUGAUGGUAGGGGCGGUAGGGGGACCGUAUGAGCUAUUUCAUAGGAACGAUAGCUACCUCCCCUAUCGAAUGGAGCUACCCCUUAGGCCUACCGACUACAGCGUAGCUCCAGGUUUAUAGUUCGUGGGAAUUUUCCAUGGUUAGGGACCAAGACGUAUGAACUACCCCGUAGUUUUAUGUAGUAUCCUGUUGGGUGGGUUUAAGACGUUAAAGUUAUCCUCCUAAUUUUAUAAAGAGAAAAAAAAAAUAGCAACACGCGCGGAUUUCAUUAUUCACUUGGUAUGGGAAGUUGCAAUCUUGCGAUAGUGUUUAUUUAUAGCGAAUAUUGCGAUAAGGUACUUUUUAUACCAUUUCAUUUCCAUAUUAAUACCGGUACCUAUGGGGGUUUUUAUUGUGUAUAUAUCUUUAUGCGUAAAGUUCGAAAAUCUCCCUUAAAAAGGCGCGAAAUAUGGUGAUUGGAAAUGUGUAUAUCUUUACGGAAGUACGUUCUGUAUAAAUUCGACGUUCCACAACAUUUAAAACGGUGUACAAUUAUGGAGCAUCCGCAAUCUGAUUUCAAUAAAUGCAUGUGGGUAUACAGACAGGCGCCUUCUUAUAUAUACCUCGGGGAUACGUGUCCUUGCGCGCAUAAUUUGCAGUUUUAUGAAAAGCGUGACAUUUUAUUGUAUAUGGAACCCUUCUUUGCCGAUUAUUUUAUAUGGGCGUUUAUAAGUAAUAAGCCGACAGCAGAAAACAUAGUCUACAUCAGAGUUGGACCCCGAUAUCAAACCCCAAUGGAGGUUUGCCUUCAUCUUCAUCAUGGUUAAACGGUCGCAAGCGCCGUAACUUUAUUAUUACCUAUAAUAUCUUAGAUUUAUUGAUGGGAAGUAGGUAGAGGAUAAUGCCGUUGCGAUAAAGAAGACAACAUUGUGAAUAUUAUGUAUUACACCAAUUUUAGCUAUAUCUAUAUUAAGAAAAGGCUUAUCAUAUAACCUUCAUAUCAAUUACAACUAUUAGGAAAGGUUUCGUAUGCGACUACAUCAAUUUUUCUUGGAUCAAAGUUUAUGUGUCGAUAAUACCUGUGAUAAGGCAAGCUUCUUAAAUCAAAUUGAUACACUUGGGGCAGCACCUUCAUAAUACGUGUAAGCAUACGAUUUAAAACAGAUGUGUUAUUAAUUCCUGCAAUCAAAGGCUAGGAUAUGAAUUUUUAUUACUCUAGUUAGAAUAGUGCUGUUAUUUAAACUCUCACAAAUUUUGAUAAUUUUUCUUGGAUGUAAGUUUAUAUGGUGAUAAUACCCGUGCUAAGGCAGGCUUCUUAAUCCCAAACAGGAUAUAGAUGGGUGUUGGGUGGGAGGAGGUGUCUCAAGACUUGUUUUACGAGAGAAAGGAAGCUAACUUUAUGUACUGAUAAUACCUUGAUACGACACGCUUCUUAAGUCAAAUUGAUACACUCGAGCAGUACCUUCAUUAUACGUGAGGUACCGACAGCCAUGCUAUAACUGUAUAUAACUAACUGUACAUUUUUUUUUAUACUUAUAUUAAUAAAUACAAUGUUAUGAAUAGAC